rnacentral:lncRNA from 1 species
ACAUUUAACAUAACAAACUUGGACCACAUUACGAUUAUGUAGGAAGUUUUACCUGAAUGGGAUGCACCAGGAUAGCCAGAUGGUGGAUAGCCGUGAGGGGGGUAUCCUCCUUGAGGAGGGUAGCCAGCUGGUGGAUAGCCUUGAGGUGGGUAAGCUCCAGCAGGUGGAUAUCCGCCAGGAGGUGGAGGGUAUGCACCAGGAGGGUGUCCAUGACCACCAUGACUAAGACCAUGAGCAAGAUGUGAAAACAGACCCUUAUCAUCAGGCUUAUGCUUGUCCUUCCCCAUGAUUUCUCAACCAAUAAUCACUUC